GAUGAAGAACGUAGCGAAAUGCGAUAAGUAGUGUGAAUUGCAGAAUUCAGUGAAUCAUCGAAUCUUUGAACGCACAUUGCGCCCUUUGGUAUUCCGAAGGGCAUGCCUGUUCGAGCGUCAUUAUCACCCCUCAAGCCCCGGCUUGGUGUUGGACUUAGUUACGGAUCACCAUAACUGGCCUCAAAGAUAGUGACGGCGCCCCAGAGGGAACCGGUACGAGGAGCUUCCAGUUAAGCAUGUACGCGGGACGACUUUGUGGGCGACGGUCUUUCAUUUCUCAAGUGUUGACCUCGGAUCAGGUAGGAAUACCCGCUGAACUUAAGCAUAUCAAUAAGCGGAGGA
rnacentral:misc_RNA from 1 species